UACGAAGGGGGCUAGCGUUGCUCGGAAUCACUGGGCGUAAAGGGCGCGCAGGCGGCCGCUCAAGUCAGAUGUGAAAGCCCCGGGCUCAACCUGGGAACUGCAUUUGAUACUGAGUGGCUAGAGUUCGGGAGAGGAGAGUGGAAUUCCCAGUGUAGAGGUGAAAUUCGUAGAUAUUGGGAAGAACACCGGUGGCGAAGGCGGCUCUCUGGACCGAUACUGACGCUGAGGCGCGAAAAGCGUGGGGAGCAAACAGG
rnacentral:rRNA from 1 species